rnacentral:rRNA from 1 species
GAUGAACGCUAGCGAUAGGCUUAACACAUGCAAGUCGAGGGGCAGCACAAGGUAGCUUGCUAUCUGGGUGGCGACCGGCGCACGGGUGCGUAACGCGUAUGCAACUUGCCCUAUACAGGAGGAUAACCCGUCGAAAGACGGACUAAUACUGCGUAUGCUCACAACUUGGCAUCAAGUGGUGAGGAAAGAAAUUCGGUAUAGGAUAGGCAUGCGUCCCAUUAGCUUGUUGGUGAGGUAACGGCUCACCAAGGCAACGAUGGGUAGGGGAACUGAGAGGUUUAUCCCCCACACUGGUACUGACACGGACCAGACUCCUACGGGAGGCAGCAGUGAGGAAUAUUGGUCAAUGGGCGCGAGCCUGAACCAGCCAAGUCGCGUGAAGGAUGACUGUCUUAUGGAUUGUAAACUUCUUUUAUACGGGAAUAACAAGAGUCACGUGUGACUCCCUGCAUGUACCGUAUGAAUAAGCAUCGGCUAACUCCGUG